UUUCCACACAGGCGCCGACAGGCAGAAGCAGUUUGGAAACGCAACAUAAAUCCCCCCAAAGCUUAAAGACAAAAAGGAACAUAAGACGAAAGGGAUUGUCAUCGUUUUUGAUAAUGCAUUUUAAAAAAUUUUGUUUACGUGUUACGUUUCCCGAUAAGAUUGUGUCGAAAGUGUGAGACACCAUGUGAAGACGAUUUUUCUCCGCUCAGUUUCAAAGAACUUGCGCAGCGGGAGAAGACCCAAACAUGUGCGUGUGUUUUCGCUUGUGCGUCAGUGUUUCAGAGUUUAUGUGUUUGUACAGUUUGCUCUUAGAAAACAUGCGCAAGGAUCCAUGACCAUGAAUGUCGGGCCUUUGUGGUAAAUGUAGUUCUGCUAUUUAUGCAAUAUGAGUAAAGAAAAUGUAAUUGGCCUGGAAAGGCUCGCCCACAGAAAGACGCAAGUGGCUCGAAGACCCGCAAGUUGUUUUCCUCAUACUCCCUCGGUUGUGUGUCCCACCCCCUAUUUGGGAAACGAAGUAAUAAGGGAGUCCAUUGCUUCGUAACUAUAGCCAUGAGAAGAUGCCUGCUCUGACUUUGCCUUCCACUGUGAAUAAAAGCUUCCUGAGGCCUCCUCAGAAGCAGAUGCUGCCAUGCUUCCUGUACAGCCUGUGGAACUAAUAAGUAGCAAGGACACCAUCAUCUUUGCUGAGGAAAGAUGACUAUUAUUAGUAGUAGGCAAGUGGAGAGUCGUCAGUGUUCCAUCAGCUUUUCCCCUGUGUCUCUCAUCCCAUGAAUGAAGAGCAGAUGUGAAAAUUGCUG
rnacentral:lncRNA from 10 species